rnacentral:rRNA from 1 species
UACAGAGGGUGCAAGCGUUAAUCGGAAUUACUGGGCGUAAAGCGUGCGUAGACGGUUAUGUAAGUCAGAUGUGAAAGCCCCGGGCUUAACCUGGGAAUGGCAUUUGAGACUGCAUAGCUAGGGCGCGGAAGAGGGAAGCGGAAUUUCCGGUGUAGCGGUGAAAUGCGUAGAUAUCGGAAGGAACACCAGUGGCGAAAGCGGCUUCCUGGUCCAGCACCGACGUUCAGGCACGAAAGCGUGGGGAGCAAACAGG